CCUACGGGGGGCAGCAGUGGGGAAUAUUGGACAAUGGGGGGAACCCUGAUCCAGCCAUGCCGCGUGUGUGAAGAAGGCCCUCGGGUUGUAAAGCACUUUCAGUGAGGAAGAACGCCUGGUGGUUAAUACCCAUCAGGAAAGACAUCACUCACAGAAGAAGCACCGGCUAACUCCGUGCCAGCAGCCGCGGUAAUACGGAGGGUGCGAGCGUUAAUCGGAAUUACUGGGCGUAAAGCGCGCGUAGGUGGCUUGAUAAGCCGGUUGUGAAAGCCCCGGGCUCAACCUGGGAACGGCAUCCAGAACUGUCAAGCUAGAGUGCAGGAGAGGAAGGUAGAAUUCCCGGUGUAGCGGUGAAAUGCGUAGAGAUCGGGAGGAAUACCAGUGGCGAAGGCGGCCUUCUGGACUGACACUGACACUGAGGUGCGAAAGCGUGGGUAGCAAACAGGAUUAGAUACCCCUGUAGUC
rnacentral:rRNA from 1 species